GGAGCCUGGAGCCAUCCGUCCUCAUGGACGCCACAUGGAUGUUGUCGCAUGUUGUCACAUCACGUCCCAUCUGCGAGUGAAGAUGCGGAUGGAGACCAGAUUCAGUGAUGUUGGAAAUUGCAUCCACCUGAGUGCCGGUCAGAGCCCGGGGAAGAGGGUCGGAUCUGGCGGUGGACCGGUUAUCUCCACCCUUGGGGUCACUGCGGAGCGCACGUGCAUGGUUUAGACGGGCUCCCGGGCUGGCGCUGCAGAGCAGGACUGUGUCUCCAGCUGACGUAGAUGGGAGCCCAACAUCAGGGGGUGGAGGAGAAAUCGUUUCUGCCACUUUCGGCUUUGCGGGAG
rnacentral:lncRNA from 1 species